rnacentral:RNase_P_RNA from 1 species
GGAGUUGGUCAGGCAAUCGCUGCGACGCAAGUCGUGGAGGAAAGUCCGGGCUCCGCAGGGUAGGGCGCCAGGUAACGCCUGGGGGGCGUGAGCCUACGGAAAGUGCAGCAGAGAGUAGACCGCCCGGCCGUUCAGGCCAGGUAAGGGUGAAAGGGUGCGGUAAGAGCGCACCGCGCUGGUGGUAACACGCAGUGGCAUGGUAAACCCCGUCCGGAGCAAGACCAAAUAGGGGAGCAUUGGUGUGACCCGCACUGCUCCCGGGUAGGUUGCUUGAGGUGUCUGGUGACAGGCAUCCCAGAUGAAUGAUUGUCCUCGACAGAACCCGGCUUAUGACCGACUCCUUCU